AUGAGUGAGUACAUACCAUUUUUGUCUUUUUGUGACUGGGUCACCUCACUCAGGAUGGUUUCUUCUAGUUCCAUCCAUUUGCCUGUGAAUUUCGAGAUUCCAUUGUAGGUUUUUGAAAAGUAAAUAUCAUGGCCAAAAGGGAAAGUUAAUUUUUAGAAAAUAAUUUGUGAGUGAGUAAUUCAGCAGUAGGAGCUUAUGAUUCAUAGGUGGGAAACGAAGAGUGAGCAGAGCUCUUGUACAGCAGGAGAGAGUCCAGGUACGGGCUAUUGCCAAGGAUCCCUAUCUGGGGGUUAAUAAGAUGUUUUUUUUUGUUGAUGGAUGGGGAGCACAUCAGACCAUAGACCUCUCAGGUCAUUGGUCCACCUAUAAGGUGUCUAGGUGCCUCCAGUGUCUUUUGUUUGUUUGUUUUUUGGAAAUUUUUAAAAAUAAACUUUUAUUUAAAUUAAAAACAAUUUUAUUUUGUAUACCAAUCCCAGUUCCCACUCCCUCCCUCCCAUGCCCUCCCAACCCCCCUUCCCACCCCUGUCCACUCCCCAGGGAGGGUGAGGCCUCCCAUGGGGGAUCAUCAAAGUUUGACACAUUCAUCAUUUAGAGAAGGCCCUAGGCCCUAACCUGUGUAUCUAGGCAGAGAGAGAGAGAGAGAGAGAGAGAGAGAGAGAGAGAGAGAGUAUCCCUCCAUGGGGAAUGGGCUCUAGUGAAGCCACAUUAUGCAGCAGAGCACCCUUCUGCCAUUUUUGACCUCUAACCAGGACAGAACUAAGGUCAUUGACAGAUUCUGGUCAAGGAUAAGAACCAGAACAUCUUGCUUUCAAGGUUCCUCUCCCUCAUUUUGCCUGACCAAUUAUUCUAUUCUCAUCAGCAUCACCACAAUGUCCCCAUCCAUCAUGGAUGACAACCUCAUGGAAGCUGCAUCAGUAGUCCAGUUUCAGUUACCCUCUGCUUGCUCAUAUACUCUAAUAUCUUAGAAGAUUAUGUGCAGUUGUUGGGGUAUAGAAAGGAGUAAAGGCUCGAAUCCUAGGUUAAAGUCCUGUUAACCCCUGUCAUCCCUUUACUAUGGCAUGUCAACAGUUCUAUUACAGUUACUAUUGACCUUGCUAGCUCUGUAUCAUUCUGCUUAUUUAUGGCUGUGGCUGCAGAGUCAAGGUUAUCUCUGCUCUGAUAAUAGAUGUUUAAGUUGUGCCCAAAGAAAAAGUCAUACUACAGCAACUGAAAUUUGAGCAUUCUGAUGUAGAGGUGGGAGGAUUACAAGAAGUUGCAGACUAGUCUAAUCCAUUUAAGUCAAACCCUGACUCAAAUAAAUAAAACACAGCUAGUUAGCUAGAUAAACAGACAGAUAGAUGGGAAAAACAAAUUAAACAAUAGUAGUAGUUACUUUUCUAUUGCUUUGGUAUAAUAUCCUGAUCAAUGCAAUUUAAGGAAGAAAGAAUUUAUUGGACUUACAGUUUCAGAGGGAGUGGGGUACAUGGUGGCAGGAGUAGGAAGCUGAGAAUCACAUUCUCAACCACAAACAUGAAGUAGAGAGGGAACUGGAAAUAGCAAGCUAUGAACACUUAAAACCCAUUCUCAGUGAUGGAACUUCCUCCACUGUGGUGGAAUUAAUUUAAGAUGUGUUACAUUUAUUUAUGCUGUAGAAUAUUUGUUUAAUCAUGCAAAGACAUGUUACAUUUGUUUGAUUAAAUAAAAUUAACCUGGGGUCAGGUGGAUGAGUCAGCAACUAGCUGACAGGAAGUAGUAGAGAGGAACCAUGGAACCAUGUGUUGCUAGGGUUCUUACGUGGGGGAUGAGCUGAGCAAAUUAGGAGCUGAGUAGUUAGGGAGACAGGAGCUUGGAGAGAAGGUGAGCUACUUGCUCUUCAGCCUCUCUGAGUUAGCAGAAUUUCACCUCAACCUUUGAAUCCUGAGUUCUAUAAUGGGGUAGAGAUCUAAAUAAAGUUCCCUUUAGGGGUUUGUGAUUGAGCUAUUGCCUGAGGGAAUAGAAUUCCCACCUGGAUGCUACUGGCCAUUGCAGAGUUGCAAUUACCCAUUAGGUCAGCAGUUGCUUAAUGGGAAGCUACUGAAUUUAGCGAAAAACAACACUCCAUUAAAUCAGUGCUACAUCCUCAAACAGUUCCACCAACUAUGGGCCAAGAACUCAAAUAUCUGAGUCUAUGGGGGACAUCUUCAUUCAAGAUGCCACUACCACCACCACCACCACCACCACCACCACCACAACAACAACAACAACAACAAAAGUGUUAUAAUAAGAAAUAUUAUUUUGAGGAAUUAUAGUUUGUAGAAUGAUGUAAAUAAUGACUAGGCUGGAUUUAGCUGGGUUGGUUCUACUCAUUAAGAAUAUAGAAAUGCAUCUGGGUGGUUGUGGCAUGCCUUUAAUCCCAGCACUUGGGAGGCAGAGGCAGUAGAAUCUCAAUGAGUUUGAGUCCAGCCUGGUCUAGAAAGUGAGUUCCAGGCCAGCCAGGACCGUUACACAGAGUCCUGUAAAAAAAAAAAAAAAUAGAAAGGGCACAAAUGAAAAAGGGAAGUCACAAAGUUGGUGCCUGAUGGUGAUAGCGAGGUCUAAAUUUGACAAUAAAUCCUGGCAGGGAGUAUUAUGAACUAAGAGUGAACAUGUUAGCAAAAGUGGCAUUAAGAGCUCAUAAUGGGAUAGUAUCCAACUAUCCCAUUAUGGAAUACUUUAAGUCAACAUAGGCUCAGUAGCAGCGAGACUGGGGAGAUUCAAACAGAACAAAGAAGGAUAGAGUGGGCACAGGGGCCAUGGCCAUAGAGAUUUCAGACUGAAAAUUAGGUGGUAUUUAGGGAAAAGUCAUCCAUAUCGAAGGCAAAGGAAGUCAGAAAAAUCAAGUGCAAUGUGAUAUCAAAGGCAAGGUAAGAUGCUCUGGUUGCAUCAGGUUUAAUUUUCACUGAUGACCUAGAUUUACAUGGUAGAACCCUUGUUCAGUUAAUGCUUCACAGUCUUUCCCUCAUAUUGUGAACUGCAAUUGCCAGAAAAAGGUACACUUGGGGGAAAAAUUCUAUAAGUUUGAUUAAUUGACUUCGGAGAUCUAGAAUGUUACAAGUUUGAAGCCAAAAAUGUCUUGGGCUAAACUUGGCCCUCUAAAUAGACAUUUAUUGUCUAUCUCUGUGUCCUAGAAUCCUUGUGACUGUUAGGUUAAUCCUUCUGGAAUGAACAAACAGCAGUCCAGUUUCUACCAGCCCUCAAGCUAAGAAUAUAUUCAGAUAGUGUCUGAGGCCUGUGACAGAUUUCUAUGCUUUGCUUUAACCUGCCAGUUGAUGUUUCUACCAAGGUUUUUGAAAAAUGCUUUGAUUUACAACCUUUAUUCUGUUUCUAUAAAAAUAUCACAAAACUGUUACCACAUUGGAAUAUAAUAUGAAGGUAACUUGAGUCUCAGCCCUAGGCUAUGGUCACUUAUAUGUGGCUCUAGAAUGAACUCCAUUUCUUUUGAAGUGAGAGUUAUUUUUUGUAUCAAUAUGAAUCUAGUUAAUAGAGCUUAUUACAUAGACUUUUAAAAAACUUAAAUGUAUUUAAGUUUUUUAUAUCACCAUUUUAAGUGAAUAACAUUUCACUAUAAAAGAUUAUAACCAUUUUUAGGGGAUGAAAGCUAAGUCACACCAUGUAGACCAAUUUGGCUUCUGAUUCACCGACCUCUUUCCUCUUGGAUUCCUGAAUGCUGCAGUUACAGUUAUCCACCAUAUAACCAUCCUAUGACAUAACUUAGAUAAAGACAAAGCAAUGUUAUUAAGUUGUCUAUCAAAGCUUGUGCUUUUGGGAGACUCUGGUAUUGGUAUCCACCACCCAUUUAUUAAAUAUUAGAUGAUCUUGGUUUUGGAUCACUAGUGAUAAACACUAAUAACAAGUAGACUCUAUCUCUUUAAUCAGAAGAAAAUGGAAAAGGAAAGAUAACAUCUUGUUACUAUUUAAUGUUAUCUACUCUCUGGUUUAGACAAAGUAUGAAAAUUUCUCAUAUUGCACUCAAGAUCAUCUCAUGUUCCUCACAAAAAUUGUCUUAUAUAUCACAUUCUGAGAGAUGCUACUCUAUAACAAAACCUGGGACCAUGAUUUCUAUAUUUUUUAAGUCACUGUUUUAUGUGAUGUGUAUGGGUGACUUGGUUUCAUGUGUGUCUGUAUACCAUAUAUAUGCAGUGUCUGAAGGUCAGAAGAGGGUGUAAAGUCCCUUAGAAUGGGAGUUAUCUAUGAGAUCAUGGGAUCUCCUAUGACUGAAGUUAUAGAAGUUGUGAGAUACCAUAUUAGUGCUGGGAACUGAACCCUGGUCCUCUACAAGAGCAGCAAAUGCUCUUAACAGCUGUGCUAUCUCUCUCUCUCCACACACACACACACACACACACACACACACACACACACACACUUUUUCUAGAUUUUUUUUGGUAAACUCUUGAUCUGUGAAGGAAUUAUUGCUGGUCUAUGAUAUAUUUAAAAUUAAAAAAUACAUAAAAUUUCCCUAAUGUCAAGUUCAUUCCAAUUAUGAUUAUUGUGAAGGUUCUCUUAAAAUGUUUACCCAUGAAAUAAUAGUAAAUGAAGGUAUUUACCUAACUUUAUGAGAAAAUUAGACAUUUAAAUGUUUUAAAAACUUACAAAUGCCCUUGAGUCUGUUUGUUGUUGACAUUUUUGAUUGGUCCACACUAGUUUUGGAAAUCAUUGUUUAGACUUUUAACUUUGAAAAUCUGUAGAUUAUCUGGUUUUCUUUGUGUUUCCUUUGGGCACUGAGGUCUUCUAACCAGGUUUAGAGAGAGCUUCAGAGGAAUACUCAUUUGUCUGUAAGACUCCCUCCUGGGGAGUGUGGACACUCAUGUGUGAGGCAGUUCUAUCAGGGUUUGCUGGGCACCUCUGGUGGGGUUUCAGGUUCUUGUGUCUUGAAACAAGGAAUGAGAGACACUUAGGUAGCAGCAAGAAAAGUAAGAGCAUUUAUUAAGAAAGAAUAAACUUUCAAUAGAGGAAGCAGGGUAGACCAGGGGAAAAUGUCUAGAAUCUUAAAGGGAUGUGCUAUAAAAACCAUGGGAGCUUUUAUGCCUACAGACUUUGGGCUCAUUUGCAUAGCAUGGGCUUUUCCAUGCAUUCUUUUCAUGAUACAUAUAAUUUUACAUGAAUUUAUAUUUCAAUCAUUAAUUGUCUCAAAGCAUAUUAAAUCUCCACCCAAGGAGGUAAAUUUUUACUAUUAUUAGUCAUAGGUCACCUUUAGACACUUGGAAUGUCUCUGUACCUGCGCCAAUGGCUCCAGCCAGUUCUAGUGGGUUUUGAACUGGGAGUUUCCAACCUUCUUCUUUGCCAACAGGUUCUUUUAGAUGCUAGUUUUUCAGUCUUCUUUUAAAAGUUUUGGAACCCCACUCCUCAUCCUCCUAUCUUCCUCAGUAACUUCAUUGCCUUCUGUGAAUUUGUCAAGGAGGGUAUUCCAUACCUCCACCUGUAUUGAAUUCAGGGCACUUCGCAUGACAGGUAAGCAGGCCAUUGACUGUGGAUGCUUCCAGCCUGUGGUCCAUUUCUUUUAAAUGACUGUGAUGCCUUAGACUUUAGUCUCAGAUCACAUGGAGUCCCAGAGACAGAGAGUCUGUGAGCAGAAAUCAUUUUUUAAUUAAAAAGCCAUUUUAUAUUCUUCAAAUUAUAAUCUCAUGAUGACUAAAGCUAUAAUUCGUGUUUCAUUUAGGAAUUAAAAUAGAAAUCCAAAGGCAGCAAGUGAGGUAAUGCCAACUGUGUGUUGGCAUUGGCAUGAUUUCAUGUGUGUUGGCAUGAAGGGAGUUGUAAUAUUCCCAUCUUAUUCUUCAGUCUGGGGGUUCUGCUGUUGCUUCCUCAUUCAUUCCUGGCUCAGGCAAUUAGUUUCUUUUCUUUCUUCCUUUUUCUUUUUUUUUUUCUUAUGAGAGUAACUAAAAUUUGAUCAGUUGAUCAAAUAACAAUUUUUAACCUAUUUUCUCUGUUUUUCAUAUAGGUGCUUUUUCAUGGACUUUCACUUUGGUUAUUAUUAUUUGCUAUUUUCUACUUAGCUUUGGUCUGAUAUUUCUAGUUUCUUCUAAAUUCAGGGGGCAGAAGAUGUUUGAAUAUUUCUAAGUCAUUAAAGCCACACAUUUUUCUCUAAGCAUAGAAUCAACUUAUUCCUGCAUUGUAAAUAUUUUUAUUUUUCUCUAUGUAAUAGUGUGUUUGACAUCUUAUGAGUCUUUUCUAUGUGGGUAUAGACCAGUCAAGCUUGUAUUUGUUACUCUACUGACAAUACCAGAAUUGCCAUUUGAGACUUUUUUAAAGAAAGAAAUGCAUUGACAGAAAUCAUACACCAAAUAUUUCACUCUUUAAAGCAUGCAAUUCAGUAUUUCUUUUAGUAAUUUCAUAGCUUCUCAACCAUCACAACCGCCAAUUUAUGUCAUUUAUGUCAUUUUCAUUGGCAAUAGAGAAAUUCUAUUAUCACUCCCUAAGACCCUUCCCUAUCCCAACGAUCCUAUGGCCACUUGCUUUGUCAUUAGCUUUGUGUGUUCUUAAUAUGUAAGCAGAAUCAAAUAUUAUAAUAUUGUGAGCAACUUCUUUCACAUGUCCAAGGUUCAUCUAUGUGUGUUUCAAAUACUUUGUUUCUUUAUUAUUGAAUGAUAUUAUAAGAACACACUGUGUAUUCUUCAUCCAUCCAUCUGUUAAUGAACAUCUGGAUCAUUGCUAUUUUAUUCUAGAUAUUACAAUUGAUGUUCUAAGAAUAUUUUCAUGCAAGUUUUUAUAUGGACUAGUAUUUCUCUCUUGAGUGUAUGUGUAGGCGUGGAAUUAUUAGGUGAUAACUCCCAUGUUCCACUUUCUGAGAACUGCAAGAUUGCCUCUCAGCACAGUUGAGCCAUUUUAUAGUACAAUAAGCACCAUGUGUCUUUUGUAUGCAUUGUACUUCUGUAUUGAGAUUCCCUAUUUAUCAAGCUGAGGCAGCAUGAAAAGGCAGGGAAAUUGUGGGGACAUGGGAAGGGAACGAGUCCUUCAUCCUGGAGUCUGAUUAAAGCUUGGGCCAAUCAAAAGCGAAAGUCUCAGCACAAUGAAUAACAUUUGCUGUGAAGGCUGCUGAAAUUACAGUCCUGUCAUAUAUAGAUAUUAUAUAUUAAAGUAACAAUGAACCAGGUUUAGGGCCUGAAUGUAUAUGGUAUUGGGUAAGGUUUCAUUCUUCCUCAGUUAUCUCUUGAGAAUCUCACACAAAAUUCUUGACUUUACAGUGAAGACAUCUUGCCUCCCUUAUCUCUGUGUGUGAGGGUUUUACCUUAUCAAUAGUAAUCCUGACAGACAUUCCUUAACUCUGGAAACUCAUUCAAGUUUCUUCCCAAUCCUUUAAAGAUAGCAACUUCAGUCCCUACCAACAUUAUACAAGUGACUUCUGUAAACACUCGAACACAUAUACAAAAACAAAGAGCUAGAACUUCACAGCGAGUUCAUGCUCAUCCUUGGUUGAGAAACCUAUACUUAUCUAGCAACUCUGUUUCAUAAACUGUCCAGUUUUGAAAUUAUUUUCUGCAGUGAAGCCAUGACUGCCACUUUAGCUUUAGUUAAGGUCCCUAAAAGUCUAGGAGUCUGCUCAGGCUGCUGAAGAUGACACUGUGGAGAUGUCUCCUGUCUCCUGUAUAUGUCACCUAAAUAUUGACAAAGUCACUGUCAUCAUCACAUUUUCAAUACCUUAUUUUAGUGUGUGUGUGUGUGUGUGUGUGUGUGUGAGAGAGAGAGAGAGAAGAUAGAGAGAGAGAGAGAGAGAGAGAGAGACCUUUUAAAAUCCUUUUUUUACUAACUCCAAGAUCUGGGUCCACUCAGCUAUUUUUUUUAUUGCCUUUUUGUCCCCCUGAGAAGAAUCCACACUUUGUUACUUCAAAGUUUCAUUUAUUCUUAGUGUUGAAAUAUGAACUUACUUAUGUCAAGAAUUCCAGCAACUCUGGGAUCUGAGCUUAUUUUCCUGAGGGUUUUUUUUUUUUUUUUUUUUUUUUAAGUUUUAUACUAGGACUUGGUGUUUGGUAGCUGAUGUCUCUACUUUUCAUUUUAUCUUUGUUGUGUCAAGUGUGACUGUCCAGGUGUCGCCCCACUGUACGCACAGCUUACUGUUCUGCUGGAGUUCAUGAGGAGUUCAGGUAGAACAUGCAAAGCUAGCUAGCCCUGCUUUUAUCCACUGGACACUAAGUAAGUUCUCUUUUCUGUUUGAGCAGAGAUCUAUGAAGUGCCUAACUCUCACAGCUCUUCCUGGAAACACUUACCUCCUCUAAAUUCCAUCAACUUUGAAAGAAGACAAGAAACCUUUACUGGCUUUACUUCUACUUGUGCCCACCUCUCUCACUGACUACAAAUCGUUGGAAGUGAUGCAGCCUGAUGAAGACAGCUUGAAGACUCUUCUGUAGCAAUUGCCUCCAACUGAGACACUCCCUCCAGGAGGGAGGAGAAAGGUACAGGAGACUUGGCAAGUAAACAAAUGUCCAAAGUCUGGAAAAGCUGCAGCACAGUACACAAGACCCUUUGCCAAUGCCACCCAGGUUAGAGAUGCUUAAACAGUUGGUAAGAAGAGACUCUUUUCCUAUGACCGGUCUGCCUGUGGGAGACUUCCCAGUGUGUGGAGCUUCCUGCAAGCCCUACUGCGAGCUUCGAAGAUGUUGAUUGUGAGCUGUUAGCCAGGUAGGAGUGGACUUUUUGGUGGUGCUGCUGUCUUUGAGUCAUCCACACUCCUAGAGGUGUUUUCCUAUUCAUACUCCUGUAAGUAACCCCCAAAGAAGCACAUUGGUUCACACAACAUACUCCAUAUUCAUUUGUAAACAUACUUCUGCCAACCAGUCACUUGUUACUAAAUAUUUCUUAAGCAUCUAUUGGGUAGUGAGCACCGUGGCUAUGGAAGCAAAACAGACAGGCUCUCCCAAAGGUACAUUCUUUAGGGAAUCACCAGAUAUAAACUGAUUGACAAGCAUAAAUAAUACCAGAAGUGAUUAGCAUUAUUCAAGGUUCUCACAAGAAACAGAGAUAAUGGAAUAGAUAGAUAGAUAUUUUUAUGAUUUAAAGGUUCCAGAAUAUACCAUCAUCAAUCUAGAGACCAAGGGGAGCCAGUGUCAUCACUCAAGCCUGAUACUGGGGGGCUCAGUUUUAAGCACAGGAAAAGGAUGGAUAGUGCAGCUAAAGGGAAAGAACCGUGUUUUCUUUCUUUGUUUCAGUUUCCUUGUGUAUACAAAGAUGCCUGCCAACAUCACUGAAGAUGACUUUCUUUACUCAGAAUCUAAUCCAAAUGUUCAACUCUUCUAGAAACACCUUCACAGUCACACCCAAGAAGAAAACUUCAUUUUCUGCCUGGGCAGAAAUAUGUCCUUACCUUCCAAUAAUUAGUAUCAAAGGAAAUAAUUUAAAAUGUUUAGUAAGAGACAGAGCAACUAAUUGGACUAAAGAAUUCAAGGGUGUGCCUUUAAUAAGAUCCACAUAACUUUAAGGACACACAGUAUAAAAACGAAGAGAUAAACAGAAAUAUUCUAUGCAAAUGAUAACCAAAGGAGAACAUCAAUUGUUGCACACAUAUCAGCUAAGUUAAACUUAAAGUUAAAGAUGGUAAAAUAGACAAAGCUGCCAUUAUACAAUAAAAAGGGGGUCAAGUCAUUAAGAUGAUAGGCUAGUUGGAAAUACUUAUAUUCCCAGCUAUAGCUACUUGAAAUAUACAAUAAUUAAAUAAGUGAAUAUUAUGAAAAUAGAAGAAGAAAUAAACUCCAAUCAAAUACAGGAAUAAACUCCAACAAUAGAGGCAGAAUUUAAUACUCCCCCCCAAUGGUGGACAGACCAUUCAUACAAAAAUUCAAGGGUUAAAUAAUGAACUUGAACCAUGAACCAAAUGGACCCUAUGGUAUAAUGCAGAACAUUCCAUCCAACUUCAACAGAAAAUAAAAUAUUGUCAAGCACAUCCAGAGCAUUUUUCAGAAUAGAUAAUAUGCUAGUGUACAAAACAAUCUUUAAAUUCAAUAAGAUUGAAAUUAAAUCAAAUGUCUUUUUCUGAUCUCGAAGAUGUGUAACUAAAAGGUAGUGACAGGAAAUAAAUUGGAAGUGUUGCAAAUGUGGAAAAUAAACAGUAUACACUCCCAAACCACCAAUGAGUCAGAUUAAAACUCAAAGGGGAAGUAAAAAAACAUCACUAGACAAAUGAAAAUGGAAAUGCAACAUAACAAUACAGGACACCGCACAAAGUAUCCUAGAAGGGAUAAUGUGUACGUGAAGAGACAAAAUUACUUCAAACAUACACCCUAGCUGAACAACUCAGAAACUAGGAAAAGGAAAACAAACUGCAGCUGGAGGUAGCAGAAUAGAAGAAAUAAUGAUGUUUAAGGAGGAACAAAUGAAACAGAAAAUAGGAACUAGAAAACUUAGAAAAAAUGAACAAAACAGAUUUGGCACUUUGGAAGGAAGGAAACUGAAAACCUUAGAUGGAUGAAAAAAUAUGGAUGUUUAACAUAAAAUUAUAAACUAAAGAGAAGGCAUUGCAAUUAAUAAUGGAAAUAAAAGAGACACUACUGUCAACAAAUACCCACCGUGAACUAUCAUCUAUAAGAAAUGGAUACAUUCCUAGAAAUGGACAACUCACUAAAGAUAAAUCUUAAACAGAAAAUCUGAACAGACAGCAAAUAUUGGUGAGUAACUAGAUGGCAUAAACAAUAACAAUGAUAAUAAUAAUAGUAGUAAUAAUAAAAAUCUCUGAAAAGAGAAUCUAGGUUCACAAUACUUUGCUGGUGAGUUCUGUCAAACAUCUAAAGAACUAACUCUUACCCAUAUCGAACCCUUUUAAAAGCUUGAAGAAAAGGAACUAUUUUACAAUUCAUCCAGUAGGCUAUUAGAAAAAGUUAAAUGAAGACAUUACAACCAAAGUUACAGACCAGUGUUCUUAGGAAACAUGGAAUACAUGCAGAAUGUUCUUAGUUGCAGCAUGCUGUCCACCAGCACCAAGACAAGCUGGAAGGUAGAUUAUAAGCAAAUAUGAUCUACAUCAGAGAUGAAAGGAUAGUUCCACAUGUGCCAGUCAGUAAACAUGCAGUUCAUUAACACAAUGGAAAAGCCAUAUGAUCAUCUUCAAAAAAGCAAAAAAAAAAAAAAAAAAAAACCCACAAAAAAUUCAGUCUCACAACAAAAACUUUGAUGGAGACUGUACCUCAGAACACUAAAGACUGAAAAGCUGUAUACGGCCAGCCUACAGCUAGCAUCGCAUUCUCUCGAAAAGCAGAAAGCUUUCCCUCUACAGUCAGGAACCAGAGGACCUGCUCUCACUGAUUCUAAUCUGUAUGGUUUUGGUAAUCCCAUCCAGAUCAACUAAGAAAACCUAAGAAAAACAUUCAAAUAGGAAAAGUGGUAUGGGUACUUAGUGUGGUGGAGAGGGAUUUGAGCCCCAACACUGAAAACAGAAUAAAACAAACGAACAAAAAGUACUAAGUAUAGUUGUUUCUCUUUAGAAUGACAUUGUAUGAGAUAUAAAUAAUCUUGAAACUCCACCCAAACACUGUAAGAAUUAAUAAAUCCAGUAAACUUGUAGACUAAAAUAACAUAUACAGUCAGGCAAAUGCUUAUGUACUAACAGUAACUGCCUAAUAAUCGAAUAAAGAAAAUAACCCCAUUUAUAGUAGUGUGAACAAAAAUAAAAUGUUUUGUAAUAAAUUGAAUUAAAUUCUUUUUGAGUCAGAUUUAUUUAUUGAAAAGUAUAACAUUGAUGGAAGAAAGUAAAUAAGACACAAAUCAAUGGGAAGGUGUUUUAUGCUCAGGAAUUAGACAAGUUAAUAUUGUUAAAAUAUCCAGUGUACCCAAAGUAAACUAUAAAUUUCUCAGUAGUUCAAGGAAAUUCCAGUGACAUUUUCCACAGAAUAGAAAAAAAAUCUCAGUAUGUAUAAAAGUCCCCUAUAGCCACAGAAAUCUUGAGAAGGAUAACACAACUAGAGGCUCAUUAAUCUACUAUCUAAAAACACAUUACAAAGCUAUAAUGAUUGGCACAGUAUGGUGUGUGUACAGUCGACCAAUGGAGCAGAAUUGGUCAUACAAAUAAAACUACCAUUUUAUGAUCAACUGAUAUUUGACACAGCUCCAAGAAUACACAGUAGAGAACAGAUAAUCUCUGCAGCAAGUAGUGUUGGGAAAACUAGAUAUCCACAUGAAAAUAAUGAAAUCGGAUCCUUGUGUUAUACAUUCAUGAAAAUUAAAAUCAGUUCCAAGGCUUAAAGCAUAAGUACUGACACCAUAAAACUCCUAAAAGAAAACCAGGAGGAAGCUUCUAAACUUUGAUUUUGGCAAUGGUGGUUUUAUUUUUGAAUUUUGUUUACUACAACAGAAGCUCAGGCAGCAAAAGAAAAAUAAGCCAGCAAGACCCUUGCCCUGGUUAGGAUUACUAUUGCUGUGAUGAAACACAACGACCAAAUGCAGCUUGAGGAGGAAAGUUUAGUCAGCUUACACAUCAUAGUCUAUCAUUCAACUCCAGCAGGGCAGGAACCUGGAGGCAGGAACUGACACCGAGGCCAUGGAGGAGUGCUGCCUACUAACUUGCUCCUCAUGGCUUGCUCAGCUUCUUCUAGAACCCAAGACCAGAGAUGGCACCACCCACAAUGGGCUGGGUUCUCCCCCAUCAAUCACUAAUUAAGAAAAUUCCCUAUAGGUUUGUCUACAACCGGAUCUUAUUGAGACAUUUUCUUAACUAAGGUUCCUUUCUCUCAGAUGAUUUUAGCUUGUAGCAUGUUGACGUAAAACUAGCCAGCACAGUCCUGAAAACUAAAAGUUUUGGCACUGAGAAAAAAAAAAGAUGUAAAAAAAAAAA